UACGAAGGGAGCUAGCGUUGUUCGGAAUCAUUGGGCGUAAAGCGCACGUAGGUGGUCCAGCAAGUCGGGUGUGAAAGCCCUCGGCUUAACCGAGGAAGUGCAUUCGAAACUACUGGACUUGAGUACUGAAGAGGGUCGCGGAAUUCCCGGUGUAGAGGUGAAAUUCGUAGAUAUCGGGAGGAACACCAGUGGCGAAGGCGGCGACCUGGGCAGAUACUGACACUGAGGUGCGAAAGCGUGGGGAGCAAACAGG
rnacentral:rRNA from 1 species